UCAGAGAUGUUGAAUAAAACAGCUUUGGGAGUCUCUGCCCAGUAGAUAAUCAUGCAGGUCUUGUUAGGCAGCGCGCUGGGAUCUGGAGGACACUGAGAGCUGCCAGAAAGGCGCUGGGACAUGCUUUCUUGGAUGGCAAUUUCACUGCACCAUAUGUGUCUCUCACAAGAUAGCAGAG